UGCUUAAUUUCCUCCAUUGAUUAUAUGACCAGCUAUUUAUUCUGCCGGUGACAUAUUUAAGUCACAGUCAUCUCUUAUGUCUUUUCCCUUGUUCUAACAGUGUAGUCUGUCAUCAUCUUUUUCACCUGACUAAACUAUUUCUCCUAUCUACAGUACCACGAGCGUUCAUCGCUCUCUGCCUUUGAUUUUUCAAUUGGGGACCUCCCCAAAUUUAACCAGUUCAGUACAAUCAAACGACUUCAUCUGCCCCGGGCCAGUUGGAUCAUGAGAUAUCUUUGAUUUUCUUUUUUAGAUUUAUUCCUAUUGAUGGAGGGGAAGCACUUUUGGAAGAUCGAAGAACUCUCUACCCAUUGGCAAAUUUCUCAGUGUGCUCUCGUGGGUGCAUUGGAGAUGUCCAUGUAUAUCAGUUGGUUAGAGUUUUUUCAACGGGCAAUUACCAGACGGCAUGAAUAGCUUCAGACAUUGAAAUGGUUUUGGGAUGAGGAAUGAAAUCACGUGGAAAAGGUGAGCUUUGAAAUUGAGUUAGCUGCCAUUGUCAAUCAAUGAAUUUCCAGUUAGCGAUGAAAGUGGUUGUUUUGAGAUGUGCAGGCUCCAUAUGGCCCUCCAUGAGUGAUGUUACAUGUGGUCUUCGUUUUCCUGGACAACGUUUUUGAGUAAUAAGAGGAAGCUUAUUAUGUUCAGAGUAUAAACGCAUCUGCUGGUGUUGUUUGCAUUAUUGAAUUUUAUUUAUCAUGACUCCUUCAUUCUUGUUUUUUUAUUUUCAUUUAGUAGGCUAUUCUCCCUUUGAGGGGUAAAAUUCUAAAUGUAGAAAGAAAAGAUGAAACUACAAUGUACAAGAAUCAAAAAAUUCAAAAUCUGUUUCUAAAA